GAUUAUAAUUAUUGGCUUCAUGCUAUAUAUAGACGAUAGCCCUCAACAACAUGAUUGGAUUAUUUCUCGAAUUUGGAGCAUGAUAAAUCCCAUCCAUUUAAUCCAUUCAAGACCUACUUGAAUUGAUCUAUUCAGCAAUUGAAUUAUAUGAGUGAAGCCAAAUUAUCUCUCAUAAAAAGAUCAGGUUCGGAUUAGAUUUUUUUCCUAUUUAAUAAAUAGGGGAUUCAUUUGGUUUGCAAGAAGAAGAGGGG
rnacentral:lncRNA from 1 species